GUGCCAGCCGCCGCGGUAAUACCGGCAGCUCGAGUGAUGGCCGAUCUUAUUGGGCCUAAAGCGUCCGUAGCUGGCCUCGCAAGUCCGUCGGGAAAUCCAGUAGCUCAACUACUGGGCGUCCGGCGGAAACUACAAGGCUUGGGACCGGAAGGCUCGAGGGGUACGUCCGGGGUAGGAGUGAAAUCCCGUAAUCCCGAACGGACCACCGAUGGCGAAAGCACCUCGGAAGGACGGACCCGACGGUGAGGGACGAAAGCCAGGGUCUCGAACCGGAUUAGAUACCCUUUAGUCC
rnacentral:rRNA from 1 species